CGUAGUAAAUAUGUAACCGUACCACUCAGUGCGAUGAUUAUAUGAUUGUGUCAGUUGCUAUUGUACUCUGCAAGUGUACCCUUAUCGAAAAUGAAAUUUUACAGUUAGGACCGUAUAGUGCGUAACUACGUUUGUUUCAACUUGAAGUGGUGAUAAUGAAAUGGUUAAUUACUGGAAAAACCGAAUGAAAAGGCUUCAUGCUUAUGGAAAAUUUUCUGUAUAAAAGAUAUUUGUAUAAACAUCAACAAGAAGUUCUACAUGGGAGCCUAUGUCGGAAAGUUUAGAGUUGCGGAUGUGGCAUUGAUAUUUGUAAAAGCAUCAACAGGAAGUUCUACAUGGGGGCCUCUGUCGGAAAGUUUAGAGUUGCGGACGUGGCAUUGAUAUUUGUAUAAACAUCAAUGGGAUUCUCUUUAUAUGCGACAUUGUUGGAAAGUUUAGGAUUACGGACGUGGCAUUGAUUGGAUGACGAUAAUUAAUUAUUAUGCUUCAUAUUCGGAUUCUUCCCUCAAGGUUUUACAUAAGGCGAUUGCUGGUUCCUGGAUGUUCCGGGGGAUUGGCUUCCUACUACCUUACUUUUUUAAAUUGAUUGUUUACGAAAAUAUAUGAAAAAAGUGGAUUUAUUUUGAUCGAACUUUAAAUCAACUUCCGUAUUUUUUUUUUUUUGUUCAUUUCAUAUAAUU